UUCUCUCUCUCUCUCUCUCUAACAAAUUCUCUCCCUUCUCUCUAGAACCUUCUGGUUCCUUCUCCGAUGAAGUUCGUCUCCUCUCCGGCCAUACUCCUCCCUCACUUCUCUCGAUCUCUAGUUACCAUGGAACCCUCAUCUCGUUGUUUCUUUCUAAAGUUUGAAGCCCAGAAAACUUCGUCCAUGAAAGUUGGUGGUUGAAGCUUUGGCUUGGGUCUGUUGCCGGCCUUUCUUCGGUGGGUGUUUGUCCGAUGAUGCCUUAUAUGGCAUUAUAAACGAGUUUCACGGCCGGUUUCUCAUUUUCCUAAUUUAUUUUGCAAACCCUAAUUUUUGCCUAAAUCUCUUUAAUCUCUGCCUUUUCGAACGAUUUUCAGUUUAAUCUUUUUGUUCUACACUACUUUUCACUCGAUAUUUCCGAUUAAUUCAAGUUUUCCAACAUUUUUCUCUUUUUCAAAGCUAGGGUUUCCAAACCUCUUUCAAAAUCGCUAUAUCUUCUGAUUUUUCUUGAGUAUUAUAUGGUUAUGUUUGUGUUAUGUGUUUGUCUGUGUCACCUUCUGGUUACUCCAAGUUCCAU
rnacentral:lncRNA from 1 species